UAAAUAGGGGCAGCGGGGGAGAAACUUUAGCAUACCCUACUUCAAUCUCCCAUCGCUAUGAAGGCUAUCCUUGUAUGCUCUCUCUUGAUUUCAGUCCUUCUCUUUCCCUCUUGCGUACUUAGUGCUCGAGAGUUGGUUCAAAAUGAAAUGAUGAGUACUGAUCAUAAGG